rnacentral:rRNA from 1 species
GUAGGAGGCGAACGUUAUCCGGAUUUACUGGGCGUAAAGCGCGUGUAGGUGGUUUGGUAAGUAGGGCGUGAAAGCUCCUGGCUCAACUGGGAGAGGCCGUUCUAAACUGCCAAACUAGAGGAUGGUAGAGGGAGGUGGAAUUCCGGGUGUAGCGGUGGAAUGCGCAGAUAUCCGGAGGAACACCAGUGGCGAAAGCGGCCUCCUGGACCAUUCCUGACACUCAGACGCGAAAGCUAGGGUAGCAAACGGGAUUAGAGACCCCGGUAGUCCUAGCCCUAAACGAUGUAGACUUGGCGUCGGUGGUUUAAACGCCAUCGGUGUCGAAGCUAACGCGAUAAGUCUACCGCCUGGGGACUACGGCCGCAAGGUUAAAACUCAAAGGAAUUGACGGGUCCCCGCACAAGCAGCGGAGCGUGUGGUUUAAUUCGUUGCUACACGAAGAACCUUACCUGGGUUUGACAUAGGGGUGGUAGGGAAGCGAAAGCGGACCGACCCUUCGGGGAGCCUCUACAGGUGUUGCAUGGCUGUCGUCAGCUCGUGUCGUGAGAUGUUCGGUUAAGUCCGCUAACGAGCGCAACCCUCGCUGUGUGUUACAAGUGUCACACGGUACUGCCGGUAUUAAGUCGGAGGAAGGUGGGGAUGACGUCAAGUCAGCAUGACCUUUAUAUCCAGGGCUACACACACGCUACAAUGGUCAGUACAAUAGGUUGCCAAGCCGCGAGGCGGAGCCAAUCCUAAAAAGCUGGCCUCAGUUCAGAUUGCAGUCUGCAACUCGACUGCAUGAAGUUGGAGUUGCUAGUAACCGCAGGUCAGCUAUACUGCGGUGAAUACGUUCCCGGGGAUU